rfam:Triticum aestivum genome assembly, contig: Triticum_aestivum_CS42_TGACv1_scaffold_407469_5BL
CAAAUACUCCCUCCGUCCCAAAAUUCUUGUCUUAGAUUUGUCUAGAUAUGGAUGUAUCAAGUCUUGAUACAUCCGUAUCUAGACAAAUCUAAGACAAGAAUUUUUGGGACGGAGGGAGUACAUU